rnacentral:rRNA from 1 species
GAUYAGAUACCGUCGUAGUCCACACCUUAAACUAUGCCGACUAGAGGUUGGUGUUGGUACUAUACUUCAUCAGAACCUUAGCAGAUAUGAAAGUCUUUGGGCUCUGGGGGGAGUACGGUCGCAAGGGCGAAACUUAAAGGAAUUGACGGAACGGCACCACCAGGGGUGGAGCGUGCGGCUUAAUUUGACUCAACGCGGGAAACCUUACUAGGGUAAGACACUAGAAUGAUUGACAGAUUACUUGAUCUUUCUUGAUUUGGUGGGUGGUGGUGCAUGGCCGAUCUUAGUUGGUGGGGUGACCCGUCUGGUUAAUUUCGAUAACGAACGAGAUCCGAGCUAUUUAGUUGGCCUUUCAGACUUUUGUUUGCUCAGGUCUCCUAAAUGGACUAUCAGUAUGAAGCUGAAGGAAGUUUCGGGCUAAAUCAGGUCUGUGAUGCCCUUAGAUACUCUAGGCGGCACGCGCGCUACAAUGGGUUACUUAAUGUGUUGUUGUGUCGAAAGACUCGACUAAUCACUAAUGUAUACCCGUGAAUGGGAUAGUUUAUUGCAAUUUUCGGACUUGAACUAGGAAUCCCUUGUAAGUACACUCAAGAAUACUGUACUGAAUACGUCCCUGCCGUUUGUACACACCGCCCGUCGUUUCUUCCGACUGAUGUCCAUUGUGAGUUGCACGGAUCUUUUAUUAGAAAAGUGCUGCGAAUGCUGGGCCUUGGAGGAAGAAAAAGUCGUAACAAGGUUAUCGUAGGUGAACCUGCAGAAGGAUCA